rnacentral:rRNA from 1 species
AUUGAACGCUGGCGGCAUGCCUUACACAUGCAAGUCGAACGGCAGCACGGAGCUUGCUCUGGUGGCGAGUGGCGAACGGGUGAGUAAUAUAUCGGAACGUACCCUAGAGUGGGGGAUAACGUAGCGAAAGUUACGCUAAUACCGCAUACGAUCUAAGGAUGAAGGUGGGGGAUCGCAAGACCUCAUGCUCGUGGAGCGGCCGAUAUCUGAUUAGCUAGUUGGUAGGGUAAAAGCCUACCAAGGCAUCGAUCAGUAGCUGGUCUGAGAGGACGACCAGCCACACUGGAACUGAGACACGGUCCAGACUCCUACGGGAGGCAGCAGUGGGGAAUUUUGGACAAUGGGCGAAAGCCUGAUCCAGCAAUGCCGCGUGAGUGAAGAAGGCCUUCGGGUUGUAAAGCUCUUUUGUCAGGGAAGAAACGGUGAGAGCUAAUUUCUCUUGCUAAUGACGGUACCUGAAGAAUAAGCACCGGCUAACUACGUGCCAGCAGCCGCGGUAAUACGUAGGGUGCAAGCGUUAAUCGGAAUUACUGGGCGUAAAGCGUGCGCAGGCGGUUUUGUAAGUCUGAUGUGAAAUCCCCGGGCUCAACCUGGGAAUUGCAUUGGAGACUGCAAGGCUAGAAUCUGGCAGAGGGGGGUAGAAUUCCACGUGUAGCAGUGAAAUGCGUAGAUAUGUGGAGGAACACCGAUGGCGAAGGCAGCCCCCUGGGUCAAGAUUGACGCUCAUGCACGAAAGCGUGGGGAGCAAACAGGAUUAGAUACCCUGGUAGUCCACGCCCUAAACGAUGUCUACUAGUUGUCGGGUCUUAAUUGACUUGGUAACGCAGCUAACGCGUGAAGUAGACCGCCUGGGGAGUACGGUCGUAAGAUUAAAACUCAAAGGAAUUGACGGGGACCCGCACAAGCGGUGGAUGAUGUGGAUUAAUUCGAUGCAACGCGAAAAACCUUACCUACCCUUGACAUGGCUGGAAUCCUUGAGAGAUCAGGGAGUGCUCGAAAGAGAACCAGUACACAGGUGCUGCAUGGCUGUCGUCAGCUCGUGUCGUGAGAUGUUGGGUUAAGUCCCGCAACGAGCGCAACCCUUGUCAUUAGUUGCUACGAAAGGGCACUCUAAUGAGACUGCCGGUGACAAACCGGAGGAAGGUGGGGAUGACGUCAAGUCCUCAUGGCCCUUAUGGGUAGGGCUUCACACGUCAUACAAUGGUACAUACAGAGCGCCGCCAACCCGCGAGGGGGAGCUAAUCGCAGAAAGUGUAUCGUAGUCCGGAUUGUAGUCUGCAACUCGACUGCAUGAAGUUGGAAUCGCUAGUAAUCGCGGAUCAGCAUGUCGCGGUGAAUACGUUCCCGGGUCU